GAGCUAAGCUAGUGUUGAAGUAAGAAUGGGUCUGAGCUUUGAGAGUGAAUAAGUCAGGGGCCAGGCCAAGAAGAAGGACUUAACUGCGCCCGAAAGCACAGCAAGGGAGGAGCGACGGUUAAAGGAUUUCGGAGUUUUCCCGGCUCGAAUAGUAGAUAGAGCUAAAGCAGUGGCGCCAUAGUCCCUUCGGAAGGGAUAAACUACUAAAGCUUACAAUUAGUAAGAAAAGGAGUGAACAGAGGGAGGAGCUAUAACAACUAUGAUAGCAAAGGAAGGAGCUUCCGAAGUAAGGAAGCGACGAUGACGAUGCUGUCCUUUCCACCUUUCCACUUUCCCUCUUCUGUCAACAAUCAAAAAGGGAUAUUA
rnacentral:misc_RNA from 1 species